rnacentral:lncRNA from 1 species
GGCAGCAGGACUGCAGGCCUCACAAGGCAGCCAGGUUUCAGGGCAACAGGGUGGCAAUGCUGGAAGCCUCCCAGGGCUUCAGGCCUCCCUGGGCAGCAGGGCUGCAGGUAUGGCACCACGGCAGGGCUACAGGGCAGCAGGGUGGCAGAGCUGCAUGCCUCCCAGGGUAGCAGGGCUACAGGCAUUGAAGAGCAGCAGGGUAGCAGGGCGGCAGGUCUGCCAGCCUCACAGGGCAGCCGGGGUUCAGGGCAGCAGGGCGCCAGGGCUGUAGGCCUCGCAGGGACGCCGGGCUUCAGGGCAACAGGGCGGCAAUGCUGCAAGCCUCCCAAGGUGGCAGGGCUGCAGGCCUCUCAGGGAAGCCGGGGUGCAGGGCAGCAGGGCGACAGGGAUGCAGGCCUCCUAAGGUGGCAGGUCUGCAGGGCAACUGGGCCAUAGGGCUGCAAGUCUCCCAGGGCAGCAGGGCUGCAGCCUUCACAGGGCGUCAGGGNGGCAGUAAUGAAGGCCUCUGAGGGAGGCAUGGCUGAGGUCUCGCAGGACGGCCGGGUAGCAGGGCAACAGAGUGGCAGGGCUGCAGUCCUCGUAGGGAAGCAGGGCUGUAGGGCAACAGGGUGGCAGGACUGCAGGCCUCCCAGUGCGGCAGGGGUGCGGGCCUCCCAGGGCGUUGGGGUGCAGGCCUCACAGGAUGGAAAGGCUGUAGGGCUCCCAGUGUGCAAGGCUUGCAGGCCUCACAGGGCGGAGGGCUGCCUGGCAUCAGGCAGGGUGGCAGGGCAGCAGGAUGGCAGAGCUCUAUGCCUCCCAGGCUAGCAGGGCUGCAGGCAUGGAAGGGCGGCAAGGCAGCAGGGCGGCAGAUCUGUCGGCCUCACAGGGCGGCCGGGGUGCAGGGCAGCAGGGUGGCAGGGCUGCAGGCUUCAAAUGGUGGCCGGGUGGCAAGGCAACAGAGUGGCAGGGCUGCAGUCCUCGUCGGGCAACAGGGCUGCAGGCAUCGAAGAGCUGGAGGGCAGCAGGGCUGCAGUCCUCACAUUCAGCCAGGCUUCAGGGCAACAGGCCGGUAAUGCUGCAAGCCUUCCAGGGUGGCAGGGCUUCAGGCCUCCGUGGGCAGCAGGGCAGCAGUGCUACAGGCCUCCCAGGGCUGCAGGGCUCA